rnacentral:rRNA from 1 species
CCUACGGGCGGCAGCAGUGAGGAAUAUUGGUCAAUGGGCGAGAGCCUGAACCAGCCAAGUCGCGUGAAGGAUGACGGCCCUACGGGUUGUAAACUUCUUUUGUCAGGGAGCAAUUGGGUCCACGCGUGGGCUUAGCGAGAGUACCUGAAGAAAAAGCAUCGGCUAACUCCGUGCCAGCAGCCGCGGUAGUACGGAGGAUGCGAGCGUUAUCGGGAUUUAUUGGGGUUAAAGGGUGCGUAGGCGGAAUAUCAAGUCAGCGGUAAAAAUUCGGGGCUAAACCCCGUCGUGCCGUUGAAACUGGUCUUCUUGAGUGAGCGAGAGGUAUGCGGAAUGCGUGGUGUAGCGGUGAAAUGUAUAGAUAUCACGCAGAACUCCGAUUGCGAAGGCAGCAUACCGGCGCUCAACUGACGCUGAGGCACGAAAGCGUGGGGAUCGAACAGGAUUAGAUACCCCGGUAGUC